AUGAAGUGUGGCGCGAGAAACCCUAAACUUGCCGUUCCAAGGAGAUGGCGGAAAUCUAUUGGGAUCAAACUAAAUUCUUCUACGGACCUGGCUAGAGGGAUGAGUUCUAUAUCUUAUAUGCCCCCUAUAUCACAUGCUACGAAAUCUCCACAGCUACUACCCUGGGAUUUACCUAAGCCCGGGUGGGUGAAGCUUAAUACAGAUGGAUCCUUGGGCGUAAGAGGAUAUGCUGGUGUUGGUAUGAUUCUGCUGGGUGAGAAGGGGGAGAUCAUCUUCUCGGCAUGGUUUAUCCCUUGCUCUUCAACGAAGUAA
rnacentral:rRNA from 1 species